CAACUCUUGACAUCCCCCUGACCGGUACAGAGAUGUACCUUCCCCUUCGGGGGCAGGGGUGACAGGUGGUGCAUGGUUGUCGUCAGCUCGUGUCGUGAGAUGUUGGGUUACGUCCCGCAACGAGCGCAACCCUUGUCCUUAGUUGCCAGCAUUUGGUUGGGCACUCUAGGGAGACUGCCGGUGACAAACCGGAGGAAGGCGGGGAUGACGUCAAAUCAUCAUGCCCCUUAUGAGUUGGGCUACACACGUGCUACGAUGGACGGUACAAAGGGCAGCGCACCCGCGAGGUGGAGCCCAUCCCACAAAGCCGUUCUCAGUUCGGAUUGCAGGCUGCAACUCGCCUGCAUGAAGUCGGAAUCGCUAGUAAUCGCAGGUCACCAUACUGCGGUGAAUACGUUCCC
rnacentral:rRNA from 1 species